rnacentral:rRNA from 1 species
UACCUGGUUGAUCCUGCCAGUAGUCAUAUGCUUGUCUCAAAGAUUAAGCCAUGCAUGUCUAAGUACAGGCCGAACUAAGGCGAAACCGCGAAUGGCUCAUUAAAUCAGUUAUGGUUCAUUGGAUCUUACCUCAUCCUACUUGGAUAACUGUGGUAAUUCUAGAGCUAAUACAUGCGAGCAAGCCCCGACCGGCGACGGGAAGGGCGCUUUUAUUAGAUCAAAACCAAUCGGGCUCUUCGGGCCCGUGCCCAGUGGUGACUCUGAAUAACUUUGUGCCGAGCGCACGGUCCUGGUACCGGCGCCGCAUCCUUCAAGUGUCUGCCUUAUCAGCUUUCGAUUGUAGGUUAUGCGCCUACAAUGGCUAUAACGGGUAACGGGGAAUCAGGGUUCGAUUCCGGAGAGGGAGCCUGAGAAACGGCUACCACAUCUAAGGAAGGCAGCAGGCACGCAAAUUACCCACUCCCGGCACGGGGAGGUAGUGACGAAAAAUAACGAUGCGGGACUCAUCCGAGGCCUCGCAAUCGGAAUGAGUACACUUUAAAUCCUUUAACGAGGAUCUAUUGGAGGGCAAGUCUGGUGCCAGCAGCCGCGGUAAUUCCAGCUCCAAUAGCGUAUAUUAAAGUUGCUGCGGUUAAAAAGCUCGUAGUUGGAUUCGAGUCACGGAGCGAGGGUUCACCGCCCGGUGCUUACUCUCCGCCAUCCGGACGUUGUGGUCGGCGUGGCACGGGGUGCUCUUCACCGAGUGUCCCGGCGCCGCCGACGAGUUUACUUUGAAAAAAUUAGAGUGCUCAGAGCAGGCCGUUCCUGACGCGCCUGAAUAGUUGUGCAUGGAAUAAUGGAAUAGGACCUCGGUUCUAUUUUCCGUUGGUUUUCGGAACCCGAGGUAAUGACUAAUAGGAACAGUCGGGGGCAUUCGUAUUGCGACGUUAGAGGUGAAAUUCUUGGAUCGUCGCAAGACGAACUACUGCGAAAGCAUUUGCCAAGAUA